AGUGAACGCUGGCGGUAGGCCUAACACAUGCAAGUCGAACGGCAGCACAGUAAGAUCUUGCUCUUACGGGUGGCGAGUGGCGGACGGGUGAGGAAUACAUCGGAAUCUACUUUUUCGUGGGGGAUAACGUAGGGAAACUUACGCUAAUACCGCAUACGACCUACGGGUGAAAGCAGGUGAUCUUCGGACCUUGCGCGAUUGAAUGAGCCGAUGUCGGAUUAGCUAGUUGGCGGGGUAAAGGCCCACCAAGGCGACGAUCCGUAGCUGGUCUGAGAGGAUGAUCAGCCACACUGGAACUGAGACACGGUCCAGACUCCUACGGGAGGCAGCAGUGGGGAAUAUUGGACAAUGGGCGCAAGCCUGAUCCAGCCAUACCGCGUGGGUGAAGAAGGCCUUCGGGUUGUAAAGCCCUUUUGUUGGGAAAGAAAAGCAGCAGGUUAAUACCCCGCUGUUCUGACGGUACCCAAAGAAUAAGCACCGGCUAACUUCGUG
rnacentral:rRNA from 1 species